AAACAAUGGAGCUGAUUCAGGGUCAGGUGGGUCGAAGCCUCUGGACAGCAUCCUUAGACAUCAAGCAACAUUGCCUUCCCUGUGCCUAGCCUGGCAUGGCCUCUUUGAGGGUGCAGCCAAAAUGGCCCCUCAAUGAACAAAUGAAAAAGAUGCAACGACGACUGCUACUCCCAUUCAUGAAGGGACUCCACUCGCAGGUAUCACACCAACCCUGGUCCUGACGCUUUUCCUUCCUUACCCUUGCCUCAAAGAGUCUUCCUCUAGCCUUUCAUCCUGUAUCCCACCUUCUCCCAUUGAUUGAGGGCUUCCUGCGCUCCAGGGGCUCCAACAGUCUUCACAGACAACCAGGCAUUCAGUAACCUGUGCUGCUGGGACUAUUUCCAUUUUUUUUUUUUUUUGGAGACAGAGUCUUACUGUCGAGGCUGGAGUGCAGUGGCAUGAUCUCAGCUCACUGCAACCUCCACCUCCCAGGUUCAAGUGAUUCUCCUGCCUCAGCCUCCCGAGUAGCUGGGAUUACAGGUAUGCACCACCAUGCCUGGCUAAUUUUUGUAUUUUUAGUAGAGUCAGGGUUUCACCACGUUGGCCAGGCUGGUCUUGAACCCCUGACCUCAGGUGAU
rnacentral:lncRNA from 1 species